AGGAGUAUAAAAAUAUGUCAUUUUGGAAUUAGUAACGCGAUAAAAUAAUAUAGCUAUAUAUUCAGUGACAUUCAGUCAUAUCUACACGGAAAAAAAAUUCGACGAAAAAUUCCAAUAUUACUAUCGUAAUCCUGGACUAUACUUUUAUUAUCUGUAACAUUCAAAUAUAUGAUACGAAAAUUUACAGUUUUUAAAAGAUUUUUUACUAUUCACUAUCGUAAUUUCAUUAAGAGUUUAUUGUAAUCAAUUCAAUAAGAAAUAUUACAAUGUUACUAUCGUAAAUAGUAAAAGAAUAAAAAAUAAGAUUUAAUUAUACUAUUUAUUCUUUUAUUCUUCCUUUUAAUUUACAGUGCUGCCUCUAUGUUUUUACAAUACAAGCUACAAAAAUUACGAUAGUUGGAUUGUAAAUUUUCUGAAAUGGUAUAGUAUAUGCCAUCUGAAGCGUUUACGUAUGAAAGACAAGUGUUGUCACAAACCAUGAUGUGAUGCUUGUAUGAGUGUAUAUAUAUAUAUAAAUACAAAUGAUGACAUCUACUUUGUCUGUAUUAUUUGUGGUUCAACUAUAUAUAUUUAUAAAUCAGUUCAUCUUUAUCCACAGUGGAGUGCAGAAAUAGAGGUUAUUAUUCAUGACGUUUUUCGGACAAUUGUAAAUAAGAAAUUUAAAAUAAAAACUGUACUUUCGUCAUUACAAACCUACAUAGAUUGUGGAAUAUAAUAAUUUGGUGGUGAUAAUCUUCAUUUGUCGACAAUGAAUAAUUUUACCCGGCUUUGCGAGAGGUAAAACAUUUCAAUAACCUCAAAUUAUGGACAUUCAACAUUUCUUUAUGAUACUGAAGUUAGCAGACGCCUAAUAAUUUUUGGAUUUUUUUAAAAAUGAUAAAUUAUAGAAAAAAAGUAUUCGAAAAAAUUGCACCUAUGGUUUUUUUAAUUUUCUACAUGUGCGUAUUUUGAAUACAAAUAAAUGAGUUAUUUAUUCAUAAAUUUUAUAUAUACCAAAAAAAUAUGUUUGAAAAAAUAUUAAAUAAAUGUUUUAUUAUUACUACUUCAA